AUCGCUUCUCGGCCUUUUGGCUAAGAUCAAGUGUAUUUUUUUACAUUUGAGAUUAAGCUUUUUUCAUGUAAAUUGCCAAUUCAUAAUACUUUGUCCAUUAAUUUAUGGGAACUUCU
rnacentral:snRNA from 1 species